UCAGGAAAGAUAAAAUCAGCCCCGCAGUCUGAGUAACUGGUUACCAGGGUUUCGGCGCGCCCAGGACCGGUCAUCGUUUAGGCACGUCUCUGGUGACCUCAUUCCACAGUCUUUUUGGGGAAACAAUUCCUGUUUGAGCAGAACAGCUUCUAGAGGCUGGGUUGGCUCAUGGGACCCUUCCAUCUUCAAGCCAGCAAUGCCAGGAAUAGUUGAAACAAGAGAGAAACUCCUAGAAAAGACUGGUAGUAUUCACUGGGAAACCCCUGGACUGGUGUUUUGCUGGGAAUGGAGGUAAUAGGUGUUUGAUAAACUUUUUCAUUUGUCUAUUGUAAUUGGUUUGUUUGGAUUUUCAAUUUUUCUAUUAAAUUGUUCAUUUUAUCUAAAUGUUCAGAUUUAUCAGCAUAAAACUAUAUACAUUCCUACAACAAAAAUUCUGUUGUGCCUAUCAUCACACUCCCUUUCCACUUCUAUCAUUGUGUAUUUGUGGUUUCUCGUAAUCAGACAUAAAAAGUUUCUCAAUUUCAUUGUGCUUCAAACUAACAACUCCUGAUUUUACAUAUGAAGCCAUUUUUGUUUUCCUAAUAAAUUAGAUUCUGCUUUUAUCCUUUCAUUAAUUUUUUCUUUCUCCUUCAUAUUAUUUUAUUGUUUG